rnacentral:misc_RNA from 1 species
GCAAACUUGGUCAUUUAGAGGAAGUAAAAGUCGUAACAAGGUCUCCGUUGGUGAACCAGCGGAGGGAUCAUUACCGAGUUUAUUCAACUCCCACCCUUUGUUAAUUAUACUCUUGUUGCUUUGGCGAGCCUGCCCUAGGCUACCGGCUGUCUCUGACAGCGGGUUCGUGCUCGCCAGAGGACCAAAACUCUUAUUUUUUUGUAUUGUCUAAUUCAUGAUUUAAUUCAUAUAAAACUUUCAACAACGGAUCUCUUGGUUCUGGCAUCGAUGAAGAACGCAGC